AAAUAUUUAAGAAAAGCACACACACAACACCCUCACUACAAGUGAUUCUAAAAGAGCCACAUACAAAACACAAGAUCUAAAAAAUAAUACCACCAUUAAGUAUGGCUUUCUUAGGAGUUGUACAUGUCAUAGAAUGAGCCAAAGUAAGAUUAUCUUUUAUAAUAUUGCAAAAAGUUCCAGUUUUGCAUUUUCUCAGGUUUUGUCUUGUUUUUAAAGGAAGAUGUGCAAAAUUGGAAGCAUAGCUGUGUCUUUUGAGUUAGGUCCCUGUCAAGUCCUAGCAGUGUCCUGUUCCCCCAAACUCAGAGUUCAAAUAUGCAAAUUGUUCAGGAUCCAGAGAUCCAUAAAAAAACAUAUCAUUUUUCCCACUUCAACCCUAACAACACCCACCCCAUGGACUAUAUUUUCCACUUUGGUGUUACAAACACCAAAAUACCGACACACGCACAAAAAAUACGAAAUGUGAAAUGUAAUCUACACAUUUUCUUCAUAAAAAAAUAUUUAUUAGUUUGAACAUUGAAUUAAAAAAAAGUCACAUAAAAACAAAAAAACAAAAAGUUUCAAUACAUACAUUUUUUCCCUCCAUGCCUCCUGAGACGGAUGUGUUCAUCUGGAUCUCUAGAAUUCCACUUUCCAAUUGGAAACUGAGCCAGAACAAAGCCUGCCACAUGGCAAACACUUGGAAGGUGGUGGGACCAGAAAUGGGACCCUCAGUUUUCUGGUUAAGUGGACAUCUGCCUCUCUAGGCUCAGAGCCAUGGAAAUGAAGCCUAUACUUUUCACAGAACAAGUGUGAGAGCCUUUAGAAAUACAAGAAGAGGACUUGAUGAAGAGUUAAAUAAAACCACUCGAGUCCUGUCAAGUGAGAAAACAAUUCAAAAUAAAGUAACCUGUAGUAACCACCUGAAAA